AGCUGUCGUUCGUCGUACAUCGCUCCAAUCGCCCGAAUUAAAACCGGAGCUCUGACAUCGGAGACUGAGACUUGAGAUUCUCGCGCCUCUCAUAGCCAGCUGCGCUGCACCCAUCCUAACCGGUCUUCAUGGCGUCUAGCUCCAUGAUGGAGGUCUUCAGCUGCUGUGCCGGAGAAACCAGCCCCGUUGAUACCUCGCCGUUGAGACUGCGAUACAGCUUGUGGACCACAUUGACCAGUAUGAAGCACACAAUGAGCACCAGCAGCGACAUAAAGACGUAGGCCAAGACCAGCGGUGCGUCCGAAAUGGGGUCCAGCAUGGCGAUAUGUUUGAAUACAGAAAUAUAUAUAUACCGAGAAUAUGUCUUGAAAAUUUGUUGUGACUUUGU
ensembl:ncRNA asRNA:CR45943 antisense RNA:CR45943